GUGGGUUCCUGAUGGUUAUUAUCUACUCCUCUGACAUGGUUAAAGAUCCAGUUCUAUUUUUAGAGGGAGCUGGAGUGAAAUCAGGACAGAGUCUAAGUCUUUGUUUCCGAAGAUGUUUAUUUCUUGAGCUACGGAGCCUUAUUAACAGCAGGACGAGAUGAAUGCAAGGAGAAGGAAGAUGCAAGCUGGAGCUGGAGUUUUUAUGUCAGCUGGAGCUCUGCUAUAGACUGACACCAAGGAAG
rnacentral:lncRNA from 1 species